rnacentral:rRNA from 1 species
UACGGAGGGUGCGAGCGUUGUCCGGAAUCACUGGGCGUAAAGGGCGCGUAGGCGGCCUGAUAAGUAGGGGGGUGAAAAUCCUGCGGCUUAACCGCAGGGCUGCCUUCUAAACUGUCAGGCUGGAGCACAGUAGAGGCAGGUGGAAUUCCCCGGUGUAGCGGUGGAAUGCGUAGAGAUCGGGGAAGAACAUCAGUGGCGAAGGCGGGUUCUCUGGGGACGGGUACUGACGCUGAGACGCGAAAAAGCGU